rfam:Lactobacillus curieae strain CCTCC M 2011381, complete genome.
UUGUCGUAAAUAUACGCGCCUAAGACUCAGGUGGCAUUUUGCCUUAAUAUCCUGCCGAGGAAUAAUCUUUUUCCUAUGUCUAGGUGGGCAUAGGGAUUUUUUUUAAAGUCC